GGGAAAGUGAGGGAUAGGUCUGGGAGCAGCCGGCAGGGCUGGGGGUGUGCAGAGUGGGUAGAGGAAGUGGCUAAGUCCCGCCCUCCUCACCCCUGAGUUUCACUUCCCCCCACUCUGGGAAGCCAUGACUCUGAGUUUUCCUGCCCCGUGGGCUUCAGCUGGGCAGGCAGCUGUCCCACUACAGGACCGGAGAUUGCUGGAGAUGGGUGGGCAGGGGUUCCAAGUGGAGGCAGAGACCCACAUUUUCUCCUUCUCCCCUCCUCCACCAGGCUAUGUAAGUCUCUCUGGUGUUUGCUUCCUGUCCCCAAAACUGACAGCACAAGGUACUUCCUCCCCACUCUGGGGGAGGCAGACGGGUGGGCUAGGGACAGCAGGGCUCCGGCACAGGAGGGAUGGUAAGGAACAGAGUUGGCCUCGCCAGGCUAUGCCAAAAGCUGGCCAUUAUUGGGUGCUGGCUGGGGUCAGGCCAAAGUCUUCAGAGGGGCCAGCUGGCUGCCUGCCCAACCCUGAUAAUGUGGUUCAGAUAGACAAGACCCAGCUCACACCUCCCCCGGGGCCUGCUGCCCUCUGAACAGCCCCAACCUUGGCUGCGGAGCAGUGCACAACCACCCCUGGCACCAACCCACAGGGUGAGCUGCCUCAUGUUGCCUGCCAGCAUCCGCCUACUGCCCCCUCUGCUGGGCAUGAGAGUGUCCAUGCAGACCAGGCCCGUGUGGGAUUUCCUGAGCCUUGAGAUCUGGAGCCAGGAGCCAAGCCCGGCCAGGAAGCUGCAAUGCCAGGCUGGGCACCACCCAGCCCAGCACGAAUCCUGGGAUGCCCAGGGGAGAUCCAAAGAUCUCACUUUGGUCUGGAGAGAGUGCUGCCCACUCUCCUUAAGGACAUCAGGGAGGCAGGGGACUCUUAAGCCAGCGGGUCUGUCCGUCCCACCGCAGCCAGCUGGCUUCCCCUUUUGCCCAGGCCUGGCCUCUGCCCUUCCUCAGGUCCCCAGGCUGGGCGCUGGAGACGCAAUCGCCCUGAGAUUUCCCAGACCUUUGAGCCGGCCAGUGGACUCCGAGCUGCAGGCAGACGUGCGCGGGGAGGAGCCCAGCCCCGUUGGCCCAGCUCUCCCAGUUCUGGAGCCUUUUCAACUCGAAGGUCAAUGUAGCUCGGUUGACCAGACCCGGGGCGUGGUGGUGGUGGGGGGAUUCCAGGACCCCGGGUCGCGGCCGAGCGGCUGUGCGGGGUCAGCGGCUGUCAGGGGGCGCGGGGUGCGGGGAGCACGGCGGGCGCGCGCUCACCUGGCUCCGCUCACCUGUCGCGCUGGGCGUCCGGGCCGGGAGCGAGGCGACGAGGGAGCCAGGAAGAGGCAGCAAGGACCGCCGCGCCCGCUACCGCCGUCUGCCCGACUCUCGGGAGAGCGCGCCCGGGGCUCUGCGACCUGCUCCGCCCCUGAGAUCCGGGGCCGCCCCUGCCGCGCCCCUGGCCCGGGAAGCCGCCGCCUCCGCGCCUCCGGGUCCCGCGCUGCCACCUGGCCCCGCGAGGAGACCGGUGACAGGCGAGGAGCUCGCGUCCUGCGCGCAGCCAGGAGCUCAGAGCAGCAGCUUAAGGGUUAGCGCCCCGCCCUGCCCCUCCCCAGGCCGCGGGCCCCACAGGCUCUCCCAAGCCAGGGGCGCCAAGCACCCCACUUUCAAGGGAGCCUGAUCCCGGCACUCCGGGGCAGGCAGGGCCGGCUGGGUCGGUUUGCGCUCUGCUGGGUUCCUCCACCCGCUCCGGUGCGGUCUCGCAUCCACAGAUUCCCACGAGCACCACCCCUUCAUCCCCACCAUCCCUUUCCCGGACGCCAGGGGACUGGCUUGGCGCUGCCCGCCGGGCUCCCUCUCCGCAGCGCCCCGCGUCCCUGCCAGAGAUGCCCGCGAGCAGUUCUCCGUGAGCCCAUCGGCCAGCGGGGUGGGAAGCACGUGAAGGGUGAUGCCUGGCCCGGGGCAGCCCUGCCUGGAGUCGCGCUGGAGGAAGCCCCAACCAACAACCACUGGUGGGCUGUUCUGUCCCUUCCCAGCCACCUGGUCUCAGGCUCCCGGAGUCAGGCAGGACAGCCGGGCAGGGGACCCAGGUGCCCAGUGGUUCCCCAGAGCCAUACCUGGCAACCCUCACCCUGGGGAGCUCGAGGCCCAGCCAGCCACCUCCUGCGUCUCCUAACUUGGCGCUCCACUCGGUGCGCAUCUGCGGACACAGCUGUAACCUGCGUGGCUCAGCUGCUGUCCCGGGUCACUGCCCUGGCCCCACCUCCUGCAACCGUGGUCCCAGAACUGAGCGGGAAGUGAGCCACUCUCCACUUCAGGGGCUAAUCGGAGCCUGAAGGCACCUGCUCUAUUGCCUUGCUUUUUGGGCAGGCAAACUGCCUGGGAACUGAAUCCAGAGCCUCAUGUAUGCUCGGCACACUCUCUGCCACAGAGCCACACCCUGCCCCUGGAAGCUCCUUGAGGGAGCAGGAAGCCACAGAUAGGGCAAACUGGGCCUCCAGGAUGCACAGAGCUCCAGGAACGCCAUAGCUGCCUCUCAUUGUGUGACCGCGGCAACGUCCUCAGCCUUCGAGGCCUCCGUUUUCCCAAGCAGAUGCACAGCUGCUCUGUUGUAUGCAUCACUCUCCUACAGGCAAAGUCCAAGGGCCACAGAAGGGUGAAACCAGAGUGCCUGCCACAACUGGGGGUGGACAGGAGACCCUGCUCAUCCCACAAAUAUUUAUUUUUGGUUUUUGAGACUGGAUCUCACCAGGUAGUUCAGGUUACCUUGAACUCAUCUUGUAACCCAGGCUGGUUUCGAACUCAUGGCAAUCCUUCUGCCUCAGCCUCCAGACACAAAUCAUUAUUAUUAUUAUUAUUAUUUUGAGGCAGGGUCUCUACAUAAUCCAGACUGGCCUUGAACUUGUGAUUCUCCUGCCUCAGCCUCCUGAGUGCUGAUAUUACAGCACUGCACCAGGCUUCACAAAUACAGAGUACCCACCGUGUGCAAGAAACUGCUGGACAAGUACUCAGAGGGACCCUCUUACUGCGGGCCUUAACAGGCCCUGGAAGCAUCUCCAGAUCCAUCUGCAUGGUUCUGUGCUGUGAACUGUUUACCAAACCCUCCAUGAAAGCAGAUCAGCUGAUCCGGGUCCCCUGUCUCCAUGACACAGAAGGGACCUCCCUAAGUGACUCUGUGUCCCUGGGUACGAGUCCCUCUGCCCACCUCUCUGCUGGGUGAGCCAUACCAUGGGUGCCUUGACCCUCUCUUCCCCUGCCCCUCACACCAAGGCCCAGGCACAGCACAGAAUGCGCCUGGCAGGCAGGCAGCCGCGGACACAGGGUUUGUUUGCUGUAUGAGAGCAUCCCAUCAGAGCCAGGGUGUGGACUGUUUCUGCCCAGGGAAAAGCAGCCCUGAUUCUGAUGUUUUAUGUGGAUGGAGCUAGGGUGGAGGGUCACGCCCAAGCUAGGGGUUCUGAGGAGUGGUCAUUUCUGGUGAGGACAGCCUGGACCUGCCAUGGUAGAGCCAAGCCGUGGCGUGAAGGAUGGAGAUGAAGCAGGGCAUGUAGGUUUCAUUCUGUAAGCCACUGUUCAAUCCCCACAGGGACCAGGGCACACCCAGGCUCAAGGAACCUGCCGGGGCCAGGCCACCAGCUUGUGGGCCGGGUGCUCCCUUUAUCCUGACAGGACCAGACACCACCACCCUUCAUGGCAGCAAACAGCUCUCCCCACCUGCCUGGGGCAGCAGCACCCUGCGUGACAGGUGGAGGAGACUAGAGUCCCAGGAAGAACAUGGGAGCACCCCAGCCCGUGGCCACCCUGACAGCCCAUGCAAACCUCCUCCAGAGGCUCUGGAGAAGCACCAUGGGGCCCUGGGCAGAGUAUAUGCAGCAAGGGGGAACCAAGCUCAGCACUGAAUAACUAUGUGACUCAGCCGUGUAAUUUCUCAGGCCUCGUUUACUUCUCUGGUCAGAUGGAAGCCCGUGCAGCUGCCCAUGAUGCCUGCUUUAGGGAGCAAACCGGUGUCUUACUCCUGCCCCACUCUCCACAGCACCCCAGAAAUGGGGCUUCCCUUCUUGGAAAAGCAGCCAGCCCUGGACUGUCCCAUCCCUGAUGUCCCACAGAAGCCACAGACCCAUGGCUCUAAAACUUCAGGGGAGCAGUGUUUUGGCUGGCUGUGCCCUGCCACUCCCAGCUUGCCGCAAUCGAUUGCUCAAAAACUUGAGUCCAGAAAACAAAAUAAACAAGCACACAAGCUUCAGUGCGGAAAUGCAAUGCACAGAAGGAAAACAUUAGCAGUGGAAUAGUUAGAAAUGUCAUCUAGUCUAGCAGCCCCACAGUGGUAGCUCCAAAAUAGCCCGCAAACAAGGCCACACUUGAUCUCUGGUUUUCUCCUGGCCCUGUGACGUCCACUCAGCACUUCUGGUCCAACAGCUACCCGGUCCCGGGGCUGCUCCUCUCACCUGCACCCGAGGGCUGAGAUCUUGAAGAUUGCCAUGGGGUUUUCCCAGCCUCCCCUUGCAUGAACACAACCUGUCGGACCUGACUGGUAUGGCCCCCUGCAGGACAGCCCCACGGCGCUCAGCAGGAGGACGAUUAGGGGCCAGGCUCUGGAACCCAUGUUUAUUUUCUGCUCUUGUACAGAAGGAAAGGGGAUGCAGGGGGAGAUCCGGGUGGCAAGGACAGCAAAUGGUCCCCCUAUGAACCCUCUGGAUCAGGCCUAGUGGCUGUUCAAAAGAGGUGGCCCUGGAGGCUAUGAUAACCCUGCAUCUGUCCCCACUUGCUCCCAGCCCCAGCUGGAGGCCAGAAGGCAAAGGGACAGUGGGCAAGCAGGAGGCCCCUCCAGGCACAGGUGGCCUUUGGUCUCCAUCAGGUCAGGAGGCUGGUCCUAGUUAGAGGAACCCCACAGGGUAAAGCUGGGAGCCAUCCCUGUUAGAGGGCGCACACAGCGGGCAGGGCCUGGCAUGGGGACCAGGGAUCUGGUCUUAAUAAAGUCUGGAAACAGUCUCCACUUCAAAGCAGACCUCUGUAUUUGGGGAGGGGGAGAAGGUGAAGGGCCUGUCAGAUGCCUGUGAGUUGUGGGUGGCAACUAGUCCAGGAGGCUCUGAAGAGGCUUGGAGCAGAGGCUGCUGGGGUCUCCGCAGAUAGUGGCAGGGUAGGUCUUGGGGGAAGAGGAUACGGGGGCCUUGCUCCCCCCACCACAUGCAAGCGCUCCCCGCCCCAUCCUAGCUGGCUCCAAGCUGCCAUGAAGACCAUUCACACCGGGGCGACAUAAUUUCCAGGAAAUGUCCCAAAUUUCUGGGUCCUCCGGGAGACACCU